UGUUUCGGGAUGUAGCGGUCGGCGCUCUA
rnacentral:sRNA from 1 species